rnacentral:rRNA from 1 species
CCAAGGAGUGCAACAUGCGUGCGAGUCUUUGGGUGGCAAACCCAGCGGCACAAUGAAAGUGAAGGCAGGCGGUGGUCUGCUUAGGCGAGAGUCUCCUCGUGGGACGCAUCGUCGACCGAUCCCAGGUCACGCUGUGGCGGGAUUUGAGUGAGAGCGUGCCUGUUGCGACCCGAAAGAUGGUGAACUAUGCCUGAAUAGGGUGAAGCCAGAGGAAACUCUGGUGGAAGCUCGUAGCGAUUCUGACGUGCAAAUCGAUCGUCAAAUUUGGGUAUAGGGGCGAAAGACUAAUCGAACCAUCUAG